UACGGAGGAUGCAAGCGUUAUCCGGAUUUAUUGGGUUUAAAGGGUGCGUAGGCGGAUAUGUAAGUCAGCGGUGAAACUCACAGGCUCAACCUGUGCCGUGCCGUUGAAACUGUGUAUCUGGAAUGCGGAUGCUGUGGGAGGAAUGAGUAGUGUAGCGGUGAAAUGCAUAGAUAUUACACAGAACACCGAUUUCGAAGGCAGCUUACUAAUCCAUCAUUGACGCUGAGGCACGAAAGCGUGGGGAUCAAA
rnacentral:rRNA from 1 species